rnacentral:rRNA from 1 species
AACGAACGCUGGCGGCAGGCUUAACACAUGCAAGUCGAACGUAUCCUUCGGGGUGAGUGGCAGACGGGUGAGUAACGCGUGGGAACGUGCCCUUCAGUUCGGGAUAACCCAGGGAAACUUGGGCUAAUACCGGAUACGUGCGAGAGCAGAAAGAUUUAUCGCUGAAGGAUCGGCCCGCAUCUGAUUAGCUAGUUGGUGAGGUAAUGGCUCACCAAGGCUCCGAUCUAUAGCCGGUCUGAGAGGACGAUCGGCCACACUGGGACUGAGACACGGCCCAGACUCCUACGGGAGGCAGCAGUGGGGAAUAUUGGGCAAUGGGCACAAGCCUGACCCAGCCAUGCCGCGUGAGUGAUGAAGGCCUUAGGGUUGUAAAGCUCUUUCGGCGGGGACGAUAAUGACGGUACCCGCAGAAGAAGCCCCGGCUAACUUCGUGCCAGCAGCCGCCGUAAGAC